GACGAACGCUGGCGGCGUGCUUAACACAUGCAAGUCGAACGGAAAGGCCCUGCUUUUGUGGGGUGCUCGAGUGGCGCACGGGUGAGUAACACGUGAGUAACCUGCCCUUGACUUUGGGAUAACUUCAGGAAACUGGGGCUAAUACCGGAUAGGAUCUCCUGCUGCAUGGUGGGGGUUGGAAAGUUUCGGCGGUUGGGGCUGGACUCGCGGCUUAUCAGCUUGUUGGUGGGGUAGGGGCUUACCAAGGCUUUGACGGGUAGGCGGCCUGAGAGGGUGACCGGGCACAUUGCGACUGAGAUACGGACCAGACUCCUACGGGAGGCAGCAGUGGGGAAUAUUGCACAACGGGCGGAAGCCAGAUGCAGAAACGCCGCGUGCGGGAUGACGGCUUUCGGGUUGUAAACAGAUUUGGCAUGUGACGAAGAGUGAGUGACGGUAAUGGGUAAAGAAGCACCGGCUAACUACGUG
rnacentral:rRNA from 1 species